rnacentral:rRNA from 1 species
UACGUAGGGCGCAAGCGUUGUCCGGAAUUAUUGGGCGUAAAGAGCUCGUAGGCGGUCUGUCACGUCGGCUGUGAAACCCGAGGCUCAACCUCGGGCCUGCAGUCGAUACGGGCAGACUAGAGUUCGGUAGGGGAGACUCGGAAUUCCUGGUGGUAGCGGUGAAAUGCGCAGAUAUCAGGAGGAACACCGGUGGCGAAGGCGGGUCUCUGGGCCGAAACUGACGCUGAGGAGCGAAAGCGUGGGGAGCGAACAGG